CAGGAAUCCAUGCCUUCUCUUCUCUUUCCACGCUCUCCUGGGGCUUUCAGGAUGCUGCGACGAAAUCUGCAGGAUUGCCAAGGUUUGAAAAAAAAAAAAAGCAACUUGGCUAUCAGGAUGUAUUUAGAGGAGAGAUUUCCGUGACUACUGAGACACAGAGAAACUUGGUGCCCAGAGAAGAAUGAGGGGAAACAAGAGCCUGCGUGUGUGUCCCAUGGUAAACAAUGAGGCCGGAAGCAUCCAUCUGGAAGGCAGUCAAAACAAACAACUGCCCGAUGAAAUGCUGGGGUCCCUGUGUUCUCAAAGAUUAAACCAGUUGGAAUAUCAUUUCAGUUUGAAUGAAAACAGAGCUCCUUCCCUGACAUGGAAAUUUUGAGAAACGCAAACUGGAGAGAUGGUCUGGGUGCACCUUUGAUGACCCACGGCAGAGAAAGAAGUAUUCAAGACACCUCAGUAACAGUGAUGAGUAACGAUGAGCAUCUUUUCAUGUGUCUGUUGGGCAUCCAGAUGUCUUUGGGGAAGUAUUUGUUCAUGUCUUCUGCCUAUUUUUUAAUUGGAUUAUUUGUCUUCUUA